CAGAGAGAGAGAGAGAGAGAGUUGGUGGUUGUGCCGCCCUAAGCCUCCAGUCAGCCAGUGUGAGGAAGGGACCAGAUGGGUUGGGCAGAAAGGUGCUGGGUCAAGGGAGGAAGGGGAAGCCGGAGGCGCGCGCACGCUCUGGACUCGUGCACCCGCCAAAACGGCUGCGCGCGGGGCACGCCGGGUUGAGCGGCGAGGGGCGACCCGGACUGGGACAGGGAUGCGGGCAGCCCUUUCCCAGGCGGUAGCGGGGCGGUGGUGCUGUUGCCCUUUUAAACUAUGGCUUGACAGGAGCCGCGCCUCCCGUCGGUGGAGUCGGUUACAAUGGGAGCAGCUCCACAGGCCUCCACACAGCUCCUGCCAAGGCCUCCUCGGUGCCUCUUGCAAUUUUCCAGCGGCGCUCCCAGGAGGGUGGAGGCGGCGGCGAGCGGGGAAGCUGGGAGAGCUCUGCAGGGCGGCCCCGCGGGGUGGUCGCGGCCAUGACAGCGGCUCAGGACAGUCUCCGGUUCCGCGCCCCUCCCGCCUGAGAUGAGUGGAAGAUGUCAGUGUCCCGGCUCAAGGCCAAACUGAAGUUGCUGGCAUCUGUCUUCCACAAGAACCAGGAGCCCGCAGCCGCCGGCUCCCGCUCCACUGUAACAUGACGAAUGGGGCAACAGAAGAAGUGACUUCAGAGGAAGAGGAAGAAAAGGAGAUGGCUAAAGACAUAGAAGACUGAGAUCACUGUGAGAUGAAAGAAGAGCCUAUUAGUGGGAAAAAGUUGGAGGAUGAAGGAACUGAAAAAGAACAUUUGGCAGUAGUAGAGAAAAUUAGGAAGACUGAAAGGCAAGACCAUUUAAAUGUGGUUGACCCUGAUAGUCCUUUGCACAGUAAUCUUCAGAUCUUAAAAGAAAAAGAAGGCUUGGGAGAUAUUUUGCUGAACUUAUCUUUGAAGGAUAACUUUCCAGUUGAUCCUCCAUUUGUUUGAGUGGUGUUACCUGUUCUCUCAGGAGGAGGAGAAAAUGCUGAAGUGACCUUUUAGUGGGCAGAUGUUGCAGGUCUCCUUUUGACAGGUUGUUACAAAGUUGAUCACAAAUAUACUAUUACGGUAUGUAUUGGGUGGAGGAGCGUUAUGUAUGGAACGCCGCACAAAACAGGGCUGAAGCAGUGCCUACUCAAUAGAAUCGGUCAUUGUGCAAAGAAAUGCCACCUGACUCAAAGGCAAAGCCAGAGUGCAGCUUGGAGCAAAGAAGUUA